AUGCUGAAGAAAAGGCAGAUGCCUUGAACAAGGAGUUACUGAUGACUAAACAGAAACUGAUUGAUGCAGAAGAGGAGAAGAGACGAUUGGAAGAAGAAUCUGCUCAGCUGAAGGAAAUGUGUCGCAGGGAGCUUGAUAAAGCAGAGUCAGAAAUAAAGAAAAA